CGCCUUGCCAGCCCGCUCAGAAACUCAAAUGAAUUGACGGGGGCCCGGCACAAGCGGUGGAGUAUGUGGUUUAAUUCGAUGCAACGCGAAGAACCUUACCUGGUCUUGACAUCCCGGAGACCCUUAGGAAACUAGGGGGUGCUUCCAUCUGGAAGAAUCUGGAGACAGGUGCUGCAUGACUGUCGUCAGCUCGUGUCGUGAGAUGUUGGGUUAAGUCCCGCAACGAGCGCAACCCUUGCCUUUAGUUGCCAGCAGUUCGGCUGGGCACUCUAAAGGGACUGCCGGUGUUAAACCGGAGGAAGGUGGGGAUGACGUCAAGUCAUCAUGGCCCUUACGGCCUGGGCUACACACGUGCUACAAUGGUCGGUACAAAGGGUUGCCAAGCCGCGAGGUGGAGCUAAUCCCAUAAAACCGAUCGUAGUCCGGAUCGCAGUCUGCAACUCGACUGCGUGAAGUCGGAAUCGCUAGUAAUCGUGAAUCAGAAUGUCACGGUGAAUACGUUCCCGGGCCUU
rnacentral:rRNA from 1 species